AUGAUGCUCCUUCUGAUAUGAUGGAGUGUAAUGUAUGUGGUCAGCUCAGGAGGGAGGAUGAAGAGGCCAAAGCCGAUGGAGAAGAGGAUAUGGACGAGUGAGCUCCCCCCAUUUGCGAUGUUGUAAGCUCUUCUCCUUAUGGACUCGCCUCCAAGAAUUUUGUUUUUCUUUCUGAUCCAUCCUUUGGCCUUGCUAUCCAACCAAGUGAGCUGCUAAUCAAUACUUAACAGCAGAGGGACCUAGUUGGCUAACUUGUAGAACUUUGCUAUACAAUCCAAUCUUCUUUCGGUGAAGGUUGUAAAUUACGAGUGCUCUGAGUUUCUAAUGUUGCCCCAUUCGAGGGAAAAAAUUGACCUUGCAGUGCCGAAUGCUGUGUGCUCUCUGAUUACGGUGGAGCUACUGCUCUCUGGAGCUCUUUGGCAUUAGGAAAGGUGGUUGAAUCUGUUGAUAAACAAUUUGAUCUGAUACCGGGGCAUGUGAUUUCCCAACCAAAUGAUGUUGGGGACGUGAAGAACUUGCCAUAUUUGCUUUGA